UAAGAAUGGAGCCAAUAACCAUCACUUGAAAUUAUAAAGGAAAAGGUAAUAGUGAGACAUGGUCAGAGCAAAGGACUGAGAGACAAAAGACAUUAGAAUCGAGUGCCAAGUCUGACCCUACCACCCUCUACGGCCUUUGGCAAGUCUCUUCACCUCUCUGCACCUCUGUUCCACAAAGGUGGAUGAUAAUCUCUUCACAAGAUUAAGGAAUCAUCCAGACCUAUUUGAAAGGAGCUUUUUGCCUCAACAUUCUUGCCAGUUGCCAUCCCUGCUGCAAGAUUCACAGAAAUCUGCUACAAUUCAGUAAACAUACAGCUUCUGUGAGAACAAUCCCAUGUUUCUUCCUCUUGCGCACCUGCUCCUCAAGUUAUAGCAAACAGAAGUCAACGCCUAGGACUUUUGCUGCCUGGAUCAGGGCCUCAGAUUGCAUACAAGUAAUGGAUUCAAAGUCUGGGUGACUCUCUGCAGUCUACGUCUAGUCACUCUAGUUUACUUUAUAAUUGGAUCUGAUCUUGCUCUAAGAUCUUAAGAAUAGACUGGUGAUUGUCCAGAAGGGGAAGAGGUCAGGUCGUAACAAACUUUUUAAAAAGUCUUUUUAGAAGCAAGGAGACAUCCCCGAACAAAGUCACAGUCACCAAAAGAAGAGACAGUCAAGACACUGCAGCAAUCCUUUUAUGAGAGGCAACACAGCAUCACACAGAAAGCAUUUGAAACAUCUAAAGAAAUCAAGACAUUUCCUUUCAAACAUCAAGUGGAUGGACUGAGCUGACGCCAAUUAUGAUGUUCAAUGGUAUUAACAGAAUGGCUUAAAUUUUGUCCUCAACUGUUCAUCCCGCCAACGAGCAAUAAGGAGUUAACAAAAACAGAUGUUUUGCAUUGUUCUUUGGCUAUUUUGAAAGAACUUCCUGUGCCAAGAUUUUCUGAUAACUUCUUCUGAAUGGAUUUGGAAGGGCUGCCAAAAAAGCCUUUGCUUGCUUUCUUCAUAAGGAGAAACAAUCAAAGACCACUAACAGUUCCCCAUAAAGUACAUAUGAGUGUGAAUUAGAACCCUAGGUAAGUGCAGUUUGCCUGAAUAAAAACACUUCACUGGGGUUUUAAGGAUUUAUUUUUCCUAUUAAAAAUAUACAGUCCUUUAAAGCCAUUCUGGGACUUUCUGAAAUAUCUAGAACAACUGAGGAGUCCCCUGACCAAAUGGUAAUCAUUCCCUCUACGGCAACUCCAAACGAGAAGAAGGUUGACAGAAAUAUUCUAUGAAUUUUAAGAUAAAACCAUUACUUUUUAGCUUUGACUUUAGCUUAGUAAAUCACUAAUGAUCCAUAGUCUGCUAUGCAGAGUUAAAUAGCAUUUUCUACACAAUUUUUAUGCUGUUUUAACUGUAUCAAUUUAGAAACAGAUACAGUUAAAUCGGUGCAUCGCCCUUGUGUGGGCACAGUUAGACUGAUAUAUACCUAUCAGAGCUUUUUUCUAUAAAUCAACUGCAAAUGUUAAUAUAUUAAUACUUAUAUGAUAUAGAUAUAGAUAUAUAUUUAACAUAUUAAAGACUUACCACAAAUUCAGGAAUUAAUAAAUAAGAUUUUGCAGCUAUUCGAUUAGCUAAUGAAUUAUUGGUAUAAAGAGAGGUCCUAUUUUAAGUCAGAAACAGAAGGGCCACUUUUCCUUCAGUUCCUAAGUACAACUCACCAAGGACAAGUAUCUCCUUUGCAUUACUAGAAAGGUUAAAUAGAUCUUUUUACAUAGCGCAGCUUCCCUUUUACAAAAUAUAUUCUUUUAAAAAUAAACCACAUUCACAAACUCUUAACAGAAACCAACUCUCAGAGCGCUAAGGAGACCCCUCGAGCUUGUUCGCUGCCAUCAGCUAAAGAAACUGUUAUUCAUGGCAGCAGAAUUCAUGGGCAAAUGAUCUCAUCCAAUAACUCAUACAUCCUACUAUUUUCAAACAUUCAUUCCAUGCAAUUCUUACCU